GUCUGAGAUCAUGGAGUCAAUCAUAAGGAGAAGUUGGUCAGAAAAACAUCAAUUGUCAAAAUAUGAUUUUUCACUGUGUUGUCUCUAGAAUCUUUCUCUAUUUGUCUGUGUGACGGUGAAGAGGUGUGAUCAAACCAGACUCUCAUCAUAUAGGAAGUAAAGUGGUUUGUAAAGAGGACUGUUGUUCAGAGAGAGUUACUCGUCACCAAGACAGAAUGGAUCACACCUGGCCCUGUGUCCUACUCUUGUUGAAUACACUCAUCUACUGUGGUCACUCUGAAGGGGGACCUGCUGCUGUUCUGACCCUCCAGCCCAACUGGACCCAGAUAUUCAUGGGAGAAACUGUCACUAUGAUAUGUAACAUACAGGAGGG
ensembl:lncRNA